rnacentral:rRNA from 1 species
UACGUAGGUGGCAAGCGUUGUCCGGAAUUAUUGGGCGUAAAGCGCGCGCAGGCGGUCCUUUAAGUCUGAUGUGAAAUCCCACGGCUCAACCGUGGAAGGUCAUUGGAAACUGGGGGACUUGAGUACAGAAGAGGAAAGCGGAAUUCCAAGUGUAGCGGUGAAAUGCGUAGAGAUUUGGAGGAACACCAGUGGCGAAGGCGGCUUUCUGGUCUGUAACUGACGCUGAGGCGCGAAAGCGUGGGGGAGCAAACAGG